rnacentral:rRNA from 1 species
AUUAGCAAUCGCUACCCGCAAACCACAAAGGUUUGGCCAGGCCAGUACUUGGAUGGAAGACCAAUUAGGAAAGCUGGGUUGCUGCUA